rnacentral:rRNA from 1 species
CAAUACCUGAGUAAAGUGGCGCACGGGUGAGUAACACGUGACUAAUCUACCCUCGAGUGGGGAAUAACUGAGAGAAAUCUUAGCUAAUACCGCAUAACACUUACGAGUCAAAGCAGCAAUGCGCUUGGGGAGGAGGUCGCGGCCGAUUAGCUAGUUGGCGGGGUAAUGGCCCACCAAGGCGAUGAUCGGUAUCCGGCCUGAGAGGGCGCACGGACACACUGGAACUGAAACACGGUCCAGACUCCUACGGGAGGCAGCAGUGGGGAAUUUUGCGCAAUGGGGGAAACCCUGACGCAGCAACGCCGCGUGGAGGAUGAAAUAUCUUGGUAUGUAAACUCCUUUCGAUGGGGAAGAUUAUGACGGUACCCAUAGAAGAAGCCCCGGCUAACUUCGUGCCAGCAGCCGCGGUAAUACGAGGGGGGCAAGCGUUGUUCGGAUUUAUUGGGCGUAAAGGGUGCGUAGGCGGUUUGGCAAGUCUUGUGUGAAAUCUUCGGGCUCAACCCGAAGUCUGCACAAGAAACUGCCGGGCUUGAGUAUGGGAGAGGUGAGUGGAAUUUCCGGUGUAGCGGUGAAAUGCGUAGAUAUCGGAAGGAACACCUGUGGCGAAAGCGGCUCACUGGACCAUAACUGACGCUGAUGCACGAAAGCUAGGGGAGCAAACAGGAUUAGAUACCCUGGUAGUCCUAGCCCUAAACGAUGAUUGUUUGAUGUGGCAGGUACCCAAUCCUGCCGUGU